rnacentral:rRNA from 1 species
UACGGAGGGUGCAAGCGUUAUCCGGAUUCACUGGGUUUAAAGGGUGCGUAGGAGGGCAGGUAGGUCAGUGGUGAAAUCUCCGAGCUUAACUUGGAAACUGCCGUUGAUACUAUCUGUCUUGAAUACCGUGGAGGUGAGCGGAAUAUGUCAUGUAGCGGUGAAAUGCUUAGAUAUGACAUAGAACACCAAUUGCGAAGGCAGCUCACUACACGAGCAUUGACUCUGAGGCACGAAAGCGUGGGGAUCAAACAGG